rnacentral:rRNA from 1 species
CUGCUCAAUGAUUUUUUAACGGGCUUAAAAAUGCUCAAUGAUUUAAUUUGUGCAGAAACAAUUAUUAAUAUUAAGGACAAGAAGACCCUAUGAAUUUAUUAAAUUUCAUUCAAUAUGUAAUUACUAUUGAAGAAAUUUUGGCUGGGGCGGCUAAAAAAUAUUUUAAACUUUUUAAAAAUAAAAUGAUCCAUUAUUAAUGAUUAUAUGUUAAAUACUCUAGGGAUAACAGCGUUAUAUUUUUUGAUAGACCAUAUUGACAAAAAAGUUUGCGACCUCGAUGUUGGAUUAGGAUACUUUUUUAAUGCAGAUAUUAAAAAAAGAAGUUUGUUCAACUUUCAAUUUCCUACUUGAUCUGAGUUCAGACCGGA